rnacentral:rRNA from 1 species
CCUACGGGAGGCAGCAGUGGGGAAUAUUGGACAAUGGGCGAAAGCCUGAUCCAGCAAUGCCGCGUGAGUGAUGAAGGCCUUAGGGUUGUAAAGCUCUUUUACCCGGGAUGAUAAUGACAGUACCGGGAGAAUAAGCUCCGGCUAACUCCGUGCCAGCAGCCGCGGUAAUACGGAGGGAGCUAGCGUUGUUCGGAAUUACUGGGCGUAAAGCGCACGUAGGCGGCUACUCAAGUCAGAGGUGAAAGCCCAGGGCUCAACCCUGGAACUGCCUUUGAAACUAGGUAGCUAGAAUCUUGGAGAGGUCAGUGGAAUUCCGAGUGUAGAGGUGAAAUUCGUAGAUAUUCGGAAGAACACCAGUGGCGAAGGCGACUGACUGGACAAGUAUUGACGCUGAGGCGCGAAAGCGUGGGGAGCAAACAGGAUUAGAUACCCUGGUAGUCCACGCCGUAAACGAUGAUAACUAGCUGUUCGGGUACUUGGUAUCUGAGUGGCGCAGCUAACGCAUUAAGUUAUCCGCCUGGGGAGUACGGUCGCAAGAUUAAAACUCAAAGGAAUUGACGG